rnacentral:tRNA from 1 species
UAGCUCAGUUGGUAGAGCAUUGGGCUUUUAACCUAAUGGUCGCAGGUUCAUAAAAUGAAAAUCUGU